GACGAACGCUGGCGGCGUGCUUAACACAUGCAAGUCGAACGAUGAAGCCGGAGAUUGCUCUGGUGAAUUAGUGGCGAACGGGUGAGUAACACGUGAGUAACCUGCCCUUGACUCUGGGAUAACUGCGGGAAACUGUAGCUAAUACCGGAUACGACCCUCGGAGGCAUCUCCUGGGGGUGGAAAGAAUUUCGGUCGAGGAUGGACUCGCGGCCUAUCAGCUAGUUGGUGAGGUAAAGGCUCACCAAGGCGACGACGGGUAGCCGGCGUGAGAGGGUGACCGGCCACACUGGGACUGAGACACGGCCCAGACUCCUACGGGAGGCAGCAGAGGGGAAUAUUGCACAAUGGGCGCAAGCCUGAUGCAGCAACGCCGCGUGAGGGAUGACGGCCUUCGGGUUGUAAACCUCUUUUAGCAGGGAAGAAGCGAAAGUGACGGUACCUGCAGAAAAAGCACCGGCUAACUACGUGCCAGCCGCCGCAGUAA
rnacentral:rRNA from 1 species